GCCCCUUUAGCUCAGAAGAGUAGAGCACCCGACUCAUAAUCGGUAGGUCGCUGGUUCGAUCCCAGCAAGGGGCACCA
rnacentral:tRNA from 5 species